CUUUCCGGUUUCUGUGCUAAGCUAAGCUGGUUGCUGAAGGUAGCUUCAUUUUUACUGUAGCCUGCAGACAUGAAGGUGAAAUUUAAUAUUUUCAUAUAACUCUUGCGAAAAAAAAAAAGAAUCAAUCAAUUGUGUUCUCCAAGUGUUUUUAACUGUUUUAUAACGGACCUGUUAUUAUGGUAUUCAUUUCCAUGCAUCUAUGUGAAUCUUAAACAUUCAAAACUUGAAUAAGUGUAUUAUCCAACAACAGUAUCCUUUCCUUUUCAAAAAUCUGAACAUUUCUAAAUUGUUCGUGCUUUGCUUUGACCUUGGCUCUUGUGGAGUUAUGGACGGUGGCCGAACGGUAAAGUAAUAAAAAAAAAAAAAAAAAAAAAAAAAAGCCGCAACAGAAGUGAACAGCGGUCCCACUGUAUUAUUGGUCCGGGUUGCCGGGGGGACUUUUAUUGCCGACGGACCGCGCGAAAGUUUGAAGAAGAUAAGAAGAUCGACGACUUAGAGAAGUAGCGAGAACAUGACGACAUCUGGAGAGUGCAACUGUCUACAUGUAGACAUGUUCACCAGACAUGCAGACAUGCAGACAUGCAGACUUUCCCUGUGGAGCAGAGAGCUGGGCAGCGAACCUUCCCCGGACACCGUUUCUGGACCAGGUCCCUCUCAUCAGCCUCUGCGUUCUGGGUCCGGGCCUUCAUCCCCCUCUUCCAGGAGCUCACCUGCUGUCACAGAAGAUAAGCUUGGCUGUGAUGAAGGGAAGUCUCUGCCCGUGAUCCCUAACCCCUGAUGAGGAGGCUUCUCAAUUUCAACUCCAGGUCUUGCAUGGGCCUCAUAUCCCUCUCUGCUCCUUUGGCACCCCCCUCCCCCUUUUCAACCGAAAAGGGCAUCCUUUCCUUGCAUAAGCAGCUAUUUUCUGAGCCAAACUGUACCAGAUUACCCAAACUACCCCUCUCUCCACUGAGAAGAGAUCAAGUGCAAAUUGUCAGAGUCUAAGCCAUGCUUGACCUUUUUAUUUUUUUCAACGUUAAAAGAAAUGUUAGCUUAUUUUCUAUCUUGUCGAGAGUUAGAUUUGAGGAUCAAUACCAUUCUCAUGUCUGUAUUUUUUAAGCUUAGUUUAGCACAAACACUGGAGACGGUGGGAGACAGCUCACCAACCUUUGUCUGAAAGUCACAAAAUCCCAAAUCUCCAAAGCAAAAUAAUCACUAACAUUAUAUCUGGUUUGUUUAAUCUCUGCAAAAGUCGUAGAGUAAAAACAACAUUGUUUUUCUUCGCCUGGUUCAGUUACGUGUCUUGUUGCCACCAUGAAGUUGUCAGGUCACCAGCGCAUACUCCAGAAAGUUUCUGUGCUUGUCCAAGAAAUUGUCCCUCACAUAACCUCAAAUAAAUGUUAAUUAAGUGUC